CCCUUAGACGUUCUGGGCCGCACGCGCACUACACUGACGAAGGCAACGAGCUUUCCUUUACCGAAAGGUACGGGUAAUCUUUUGAAACUUCGUCGUGCUGGGGAUAGAUCCUUGCAAUUUUUGAUCUUAAACGAGGAAUGCCUAGUAAGCGCAAGUCAUCAACUUGCGUUGAUUACGUCCCUGCCCUUUGUACACACCGCCCGUCGCUACUACCGAUUGAAUGGUUUAGUGAGGCCUUCGGAUCCGCGACUCGUUUGUGGAGAAGUUGGACAAACUCAGUCAUUUAGAGGAAGUAAAAGUCGUAACA
rnacentral:rRNA from 1 species